rnacentral:tRNA from 1 species
GAUAAAGUAGUGAAAUUCACGUCAUUAUUUCAUGAUGAAUAUGUUUAGUCUUCU